rnacentral:tRNA from 1 species
AGCUAAUGAACUUGUACAAGUAUAUAUUUUGAAAAUAUAAAAAAGAGUUAAACCUCUAUUAGCUU